CAUGCAAGUCGAGCGGCCGUAGCAAUACGGCAGCGGCAGACGGGAGAGUAACACGUGGGAACGUGCCCAUCAGUUCGGAACAACCCAGGGAAACUUGGGCUAAUACCGGAUACGCCCUUACGGGGAAAGAUUUAUCGCUGAUGGAGCGGCCCGCGUCUGAUUAGCUUGUUGGUGAGGUAAUGGCUCACCAAGGCGACGAUCAGUAGCUGGUCUGAGAGGAUGAUCAGCCUCACUGGGACUGAGACACGGCCCAGACUCCUACGGGAGGCAGCAGUGGGGAAUAUUGGACAAUGGGCGAAAGCCUGAUCCAGCCAUGCCGCGUGGAUGAUGAAGGCCCUAGGGUUGUAAAGUCCUUUCGGCGGGGAAGAUAAUGACGGUACCCGCAGAAGAAGCCCCGGCUAACUUC
rnacentral:rRNA from 1 species